ACGGCAGGUGGCAAUGCGCGUUCGGGAGGAAAUGGCGGCAGCCCGGCAAGCGGAUGUUAUUUCGUGGUCGACUUAUUUCGUUGUACGUAGGAACGCGCCACUGGCUCUCGCGCUCGCCCGCUUCUUUUGUGUCCACUUUCGUUUUGUUUCCUGCGACUUCCUCUCCUGCUCUUUGGAGUAGGGUUUUAUCGGUAGUCACGGUAUUUCACGUUUACCCCCUUGUACGACUCAUCCUUAAGAGCGUGCUACCUCGAGUUAUGGUAUACAAAAACGUUCUCUAAGGAAUUAACGUUUGCUACGCGCCUGGAUAAAUAAAUAUAUAUUCUUUAACAUCGAUAUCUCUCAAGUAUCAGUACAUCACGCAAUUCGAUAAGCCGAUUUACUUAGGCGCGACAAUAAAGUGAUAUCGUCAAGUGAAGGUUGUGAUACGUGACUGGACACUUCCGGUUAACUCGUUAUUAUACGCCAGACGGAGUAAUAUUAUAAUGGCGUUGAAACAAAACGGUAAUAUAAUUUUCCGGCUUCCAGAACCGGCUAACUUCCUGUCUGCGAAAUCUAAGAUCUUCACGCUGACUGAUCAGACCACGAAUCUGAAAAUCUUCCUGGGCGCUUACCCAAAGCCAAGGCAUGACGAUGCGGCUUUGAAGCGGGACUUCCGGCGCUCGUACCUGCCCGACCGGAAGGGCCAAAGACAUGCCCCACCCCCCGGCUUGCCAUAUCCUGCAGAAUGCCUGCAUCCCUUGGCUGCCUCUGUCCGGCACGCACGAACACUUUUCUAUGCGCUCCACGAUACAUUAUACUCGUCACGUAGAGCACCUAUAUUUCAGUAUUCGUCUCUCGAUCGAACGUUACAACCUGUGAUGCUUGUAACUGUCAGAAAGACAUUUUGAAUAUGAAUAUGAUUUGAGGAUGUCUAAAAAUGAGAAGCCAACAAAUUUAGAUAUCCAGCAAUUAAAGUGA